UCCCUGGUGGUCUAAUGGUGAAGACUCUGUACUCCCACUGAAGAGGGCCCAGGUUCGAUCUCUGGCUGGGGAG